UGAAAAGAUACGUAGGGGCAAUCAGCGCGGCGAAAAGCAACCUGGCUGUCCGUGUUUCAUAUCUGACACUUCUACUAGCCGCCGUGCCUGCGGUAUUCGGCGAUAAACCACCGCCGGAUAUUGUCCUCAUCAUCGCGGACGACCUCGGUUGGGAUGACGUCAGCUUUCACGGGUCUUCGCAAAUCCCCACGUCCAACUUGGACGCCCUGGCGGCAGAUGGCGUCAUACUCAACGCCCUGUACGCCAUGCCU
rnacentral:lncRNA from 1 species